UAAGGAGACUGCCGGUGACAAACCGGAGGAAGGUGGGGAUGACGUCAAGUCAUCAUGGCCCUUACGGCCAGGGCUACACACGUGCUACAAUGGUCGGUACAAAGGGUUGCCAAGCCGCGAGGUGGAGCUAAUCCCAUAAAACCGAUCGUAGUCCGGAUCGCAGUCUGCAACUCGACUGCGUGAAGUCGGAAUCGCUAGUAAUCGUGAAUCAGAAUGUCACGGUGAAUACGUUCCCGGGCC
rnacentral:rRNA from 1 species